AUUGAACGCUGGCGGCAUGCUUUACACAUGCAAGUCGAACGGCAGCACGGGCUUCGGCCUGGUGGCGAGUGGCGAACGGGUGAGUAAUAUAUCGGAACGUACCCAGAAGUGGGGGAUAACGUAGCGAAAGUUACGCUAAUACCGCAUACGAUCUAUGGAUGAAAGCAGGGGACCGCAAGGCCUUGUGCUCCUGGAGCGGCCGAUAUCUGAUUAGCUAGUUGGUGAGGUAAAGGCUCACCAAGGCGACGAUCAGUAGCUGGUCUGAGAGGACGACCAGCCACACUGGAACUGAGACACGGUCCAGACUCCUACGGGAGGCAGCAGUGGGGAAUUUUGGACAAUGGGCGCAAGCCUGAUCCAGCAAUGCCGCGUGAGUGAAGAAGGCCCUCGGGUUGUAAAGCUCUUUUGUCAGGGAAGAAACGGUAGAGGCUAAUAUCCUUUGCUAAUGACGGUACCUGAAGAAUAAGCACCGGCUAACUACGUG
rnacentral:rRNA from 1 species